CUGUAGUCAACAACACUUUUUGGUGCUCUUCUUCAGUUUAUACUGCAAGCAGCCACUGAGGACUCUCACUGCUCCUUCCUCCAGUAUGCUAGAAGAGAGAAAAGCUACAAGGCAAGGUUGGGUCAAUAUCCCACAGAAAACUGAAUGGAGUGUGUGUGAAUAAGCCAACAGGAAAGGGAGAAGAAAAGGGCAUGGGAAUAGUUUCCUAUUUUUCACCACCAGAGUAAGAACAACAAUAAGAAAAAUGCAGCAACAACUGAAAGACAGAUAUAUCUAUUAAAUAUUUGCCAGUAUCUGUGAAGACGGUGAGUGUUCUGAAGGUUGCAUUGACCGUUUGCUGGAAGGAUGAUAUGUGGUGGAAGACAGCAGAAAGCUGCAAAGAUCAACAGAGCCAGAAGCAUCCAGCAGCCAAAGGUCUUUUUCUGCACUGAAAUUUUAGCCCUGUCUCCAAUUGAAGCAUGAAAGAUAUGACUUAAGAUAGAACACAUGAUUUUAACUGUGGAACAUCACCUCAGGAAGAAGAAUCAAUGAGUGUACCUCCUUGGGAGGUUUGCACAGAAGAAGCAAUCAAGAGUCUCAGGACACUUUACAGACAGAGAUAACUUCUGCAGCUGCUUUUGGGGAUGGCUGAGUGUCAUUAUCCCAUCACACAUGGUGACUGUCUGGGUUUGGAUGGUGAGCAACCUUCCCGAAAGUCAACUACAGGUGUAAGAGUUGUCUCCCAUCUGCUGCCACAUAGACACAAAAUGGAAACAGUGGGACAUCUACCCAGUGUAGAAACAAUUCAGUGGAAGACAUCCGACAACUCAACUUUCAGGUUGCACUGUUUUUUAUAUACAGGCAAGGGAAGAAAUCUAUUCAGACUGGAAAAGGCAGAUGGAAUUUCCUGUACUGGGUUUGCAGGAGAUGAUUCUGAAGACUGAGAAGCUAAUUCACUGCUGUCUUGAAAAUAAGUUUGAACUUGCUAAGGUCUGUUCAGUGGCUGAGUCAAACUGCUACUAAAUUCUGUCAUUCUGAAUAAAUAUUUAUGUGGUUCAUUUCUGCUGUACUAAGUCUGCAUGCUAAUUAUGUCUGCAUGACAGUCUAACCAAAAUAAAACCAUUAUUUAGGUCUGAAUUUUAUUGAACAUGUGAUAAUUUUAUUUGACAUGAAAAAUUAAAACCACUUGGAAGGUCUGACAAAGAUCUAGUAUUUAAAACUUAUCCUCAUCUUCCUAGAGGAACCCUUUCCUGAGCCUUGGAAUGCUAGCAAUUUUAAACUACUUUGGCUUUUUGAUUCUUAAACAUUCAUAAGUAUCUCUACACACUUUUCUGCAAAUCUGCUCAAGAAAAGUUUAUAUAAUAUUCAUUUUUGGUACAUAUGGGAGAAAUUAAGAGCCUUGCCAACACUCCCUAGUGUUGUGUUUUCCUUUUCUUUUUUCUGUGAAUGAACAAGCU